rnacentral:rRNA from 1 species
GCGGUAAUUCCAGCUCCAAGAGCGUAUAUUAAUACUGCUGUAGUUAAAACGCCCGUAGUAUACCUAAGAGUGGGUGUGUAGUAAUUAGUUUUACCAGAGGACGGUUGGCGAGAGUUUAUCACUCUUGUUUGCCUACUUUUGGUAGACUUUAGUCGGGCUGGAUCUUUGGUCCUCGUCUGACAGUUGCUACGUACUUACUUACCACGGUUCAUCCGUGAGGCCCUUGGCUUGCAACUGUAAAUAAAUCGUUGUGCUUAAAGCGGGCUAUGAUACUCUGCCAGAGCGAUUUAGCAUGGGACUGCAGAGUAGCUGUAUUUGGGUGAAGGUUGUACUUCGGUAUGGCUGGAGCUUGGUACAGCGCUUGUAAUGGAGCUCAGGGUGAGGCCCCGGGUACCAUGAGGCUAGAGGUGAAAUUCUGAGACCCUCAUGUGACCAACUAAGGCGAAAGCUGUCGUGGGCCACCACAAGCUCGUCUAUCAGGGACGAAAGUUGGGGGAUCGAAGACGAUUAGAUACCGUCGUAGUCCCAACUAUAAACGAUACCAACCGAGUAUUUGGGAAGACACUAUCCCAGCGAUCUUCUCAGAACUCAAGGGAAACCUUAAGUCUUUGGGUUCUGGGGGGAGUAUAGUCGCAAGACCGAAACUUAAAGGAAUUGACGGAAAGGCACCACCAGGAGUGGAGUCUGCGGCUUAAUUCGACUCAACACGGGGAAACUCACCAGGUCAGGACACAAGUUUGAUUGACAGGUUAAUAGCCCUUUCUUGAUUGUGUGGUGGGUAGUGCAUGGCCGUUUCCAGUUCGUGGAGUGAUCUGUCUUGUUAAUUCAGAUAACGAACGAGACCUAAGCCUUUAACUAGCCGUAGGCCUUUUCCUUCGGGGAAGGGUUAGUUUGUCGGAACAGGUUUCGGCCUGUUCCAAAACCUACGAGACUUUUGUCAGCUUCUUAAAGGGACUUCAUUCGUAAACUAGGAUGAGGAAGUAUUUAGGCCAUAACAGGUCUGUGAUGCUCUUAGAUGUCCUGGGCUGCACGCGUACUACAAUAACGGUACCAGCGAGCGCUAUGGUUUUAUAACCCCUUAUCCUAAUAGGAUUGGGAAAACUUUUCAAACACCGUUAUGACAGGGAUCGAGGAUUGGAACAUCCUCGUGAACGAGGAAUUCCUAGUAAGCGUGGUUCAUCAUACCACAUUGAUUACGUCCCUGCCUUUUGUACACACCGCCCGUCGCUCCUACCGAUGGGACGAAGAGAUGAACCUGGCGGACCGAACCGCAAGGUAAGGGAAACCAGUUAAAU